UAGGUAACAUGUGUGUAACAUUCGCCAUAUUUUACAUUACGAAGGAUAUUUCAACCAAAAACUCACGGUAUGUUGUUUACAAUCGAGUAAAUCCUUUGCUCUGUAUGUGUUGGGAGGCAAGCACUUCACACCGAUUGAUCUUUUUUUUUGUAUGUGACAGUAUCCCUUGUGAUCAGCCGAACGAGUUACUCACUAGAUACCUAUAGACAACUUAUGUCUACCCAUCGCCAUCAUGCUAUUUCCGAGUGAAAGGAUUCACAUUCUGCCUUCCUCUAUAGCAGGCAUCACAUAUUUAUUACUAUAGAACUACAUGAAACAAAACAGACAAGGGAUGCUGACACUUUUGUGUUGCAGCUUGCUGAUGUUUCCUAUCUGUUUGGUGCAGCAUAUUCAUACAUAUGUUGUGAACUAUCUACCUUUCCAGCGCUAAAACUCAAACAUUCCACAACCAUACAUUGCCAACUUCCACGUAACCAUCAUCUUCUCAGAAGUCUUUACCUCAUCGGUACUUAACCAGCUAACAUUCAUAGGCUUUCACACCGUCACCACACUUUGGAUAGCAAGUACUCAUCAUCCUGCUAUGCAAACGUGUCUUCCCAACAACUACCGUAGUUCUCGUCCCCAAUCGCACGCAGCUACUUUGUCUUCAUCUUCCCACGGGUACGGCAUCAACCCAUCGACGUUCCCGUUAUGCUGUCUUCAUCUGCCGGAGUCAUCUAUAAGUAGCACCAUGGCUGAGCAACAUGCAGAAACUGAUUUAAGGGGGUGCAGCCAAGUCAAAAUCCGGCCAAGCCGUCUUCGCCUUUGCCGUCCUCGCCUUUGCCGUCCUCGCCUUUGCCGUCCUCGCCUUUGCCGUCC